GACCUCAAGUGAUCCGCCCCCUCGGCCUCCCAGAGUGCUAAGAUUACAGGCAUGAGUCACCACGCCUGGCUGUGCCUCUGCAAUUUAUUUGUCGAAGAGACCAGGUCAUUCAUUCUGUAGAUUUCUCACAGUCUGAAUUUUGUUGAUUGCCUUCCUGUAGUACUGUUCAGUACCCUCCUCUCUUCUCUGUUUAUGCAAAAUUGUUAGUUCACAGGAUUUAGAGUUGGAAUGACCCACCUGUUUAACCUGUUCAGCAUGCUCAUUUCAUGGAAAAGAGGGCCAGAAAGACAGUGUCUUAAUGACAGACUAGAAUCCAGAGACCUAAGUCUAAGAUUCAAACUCCUGUCAAUAUAUGAUUGCUGACAAGAUGGUAAAAGGAACACUUGCUUUUUUAGAAAAUAACAUUAAGCAUAUGAAAGUGUAUAUUUAUAUACAUAUAUUUCAUAUGCUUAUUACAAAUCAGUCUUCUUUAUUCAAUGAAACAGAUCAGGCAUGUUUCAAAGGAAUAGUCAACAUUUGAUUAACUAUAUAGUUCUUUGAUGCCCACACACACAAAACCCAAACCCUACAGAGGUUAUGAAAUAGUCUCAGGUCCAAAAUUUUAGGUAAUUUAAACAGGUAUUCUAAUAGUCUAACUUUAUUAUACUGUAUAUAUCUUUUAAAUGUCAACAAUAGUAAAAAUUCAUUUCAGGGCACUACUAUUUCUAUAUGUUUAUAAAAU
rnacentral:lncRNA from 1 species